rnacentral:sRNA from 1 species
CUGAAGCCCCUUAGCAGCAGCGGAUAUGCCUCCCAUAAGGAGAAAGAAAUGGUGGCCAGCAAGCAAAUGAGGUAUACUAUGUGGGAGUACCCGUGGGGCU